rnacentral:rRNA from 1 species
AGCAGCCGCGGUAAUUCCAGCUCCAAUAGCGUAUAUUAAAGUUGUUGCAGUUAAAAAGCUCGUAGUUGAAUUUCGGGAUUGGCGCAUCGGUCGUGCCUCACGGGGUAUGAACUGGUGCAGUCAAUUUCUCACCUUCUGGAGAACCGCGAUGUCCUUAAUUGGAUGCCGCGGGGAACCAGGACCUUUACUUUGAAAAAUUAGAGUGUUUAAAGCAGGCAUUUUUGCUUGAAUACAUUAGCAUGGAAUAAUAAAAUAGGACGGCAUGGUCCUAUUUUGUUGGUUUCUAGGACCACCGUAAUGAUUAAUAGGGAUAGUUGGGGGCAUUAGUAUUCAAUUGUCAGAGGUGAAAUUCUUGGAUUUAUUGAAGACUAACUACUGCGAAAGUAUUUGCCAAGGAUGUUUUCAUUAAUCAAGAACGAAAGUUAGGGGAUCGAAGACGAUCAGAUACCGUCGUAGUCUUAACCAUAAACUAUGCCGACUAGGAAUCAGACGAUGUUAAUUUUUAAUGUACUCG